UAGCGACAAGGAUGAGGCCUGCUGCGAUAUGACCGGAGCCUGAUUGCCAUUGGGCGCCACACUAUCCAGCGAUAGUGAGCGGCUCAGCGUCGGACUCACUUUUAUUGCACUCCUUGUUGAUGAGACCCACAUAUAAAGGACUGUAGCCAGGAUGGAGCAGCGCAAACGUGGAGGCCUCUGGUCCGAUGCCUCUGGCCUUCUCCCACUCGUAAAGCUUACGUGUAAAUUUGCGAGAGAUGCCCUCGAAUUUUCUCACCUCGCCAUCUGAGGUCUUCACCUCAAUAUUCUUAGAUGUAUGAUCCGGUGCCACGAUAGCUUUAAGGCGUGCCAAUCUGCGACGAUCAUCAUCAGAGCCUCGCCGGCUGGACUGAUUGUGCUUGGAGCUGCGCUUGAGAGAAUCAUUGUCGGAGUUGGUGCCACCGACGGGCGUACACUUCAAGCGGUUCCAUUGCUCUGAGGAUAAAUAUUUUGGAUAACCAAAUAUCUCAAUCGCACAGCUCACUGUGGACUCACCCAGCUUUUUUUGAAACUUUUCAGGUAAAUCCUUUUGGUCUGGCAGCGCGCACAGGCCCUGACCCUCAAGCUUCAAUGCACCCGAGCUCCAAAGAUUCCAGUCGAUUUUUGGCUUUAUAUCGCCGCCACUUAGACUUUUGGCUGUGGGACUCGCCGCUGUCUCGGAGGUGGCAUAGCAAUUGGAGCUCUGCUGCUUGGCCCGCCAUUUGUGAAGCUUCUUCUUGAACUGCGGCGUCAAAUUCUGCUCGAGCUGUUCGGUGGACAUAAGAUCACUGUGCAGCAGCUGCGUGGGUGAAUGCUCCUCGCUGCUGCGCUUGCCGCUGCCACUGACGCUGCCUGGGCCACCACUGCUGAGCUUGACGCCUGGAAUAGAAUCGGGAUUAGGCGUGGUCGGUGGAUUACCUGAAUGUCUAUCGUGUGGCUUACUGCGAUUGCUCGCGCUGGCUCGCUUUAGUUCGCAUUGCUUGUGCUUGAACUCCAUAUCUAGUUUGAGUAGUAGAAGUUGAUAAUGUUGAAAUACUUCAUCUUCGUUCUGUGUGAAAGUCUUACAGUUUGGCGUCGUGGGCUCCGAGGAAACUCCACUUGAUAGCUCCUCGCUCUCUGUAAAGCCAGACGUUAAUGGAAACCGCUAAUAUGGUAGCCACCAAACAGCUCACCCACCAAAUUCACCAAAGAAAUCCGAAUGCCUGGAUGGACUGCUCGGCACCGAAGAGUUUCCCGGCGAGUUCACUUGACGCAUACGUGAUCCAUCCUUUGGACUCUUGAGCGGAGAAUGCAGCUGCGGCAGAUCACUGCACACCUGAUUGAGAUUUAAAGGACUGGGCGGCAGCUUGUUCCGGCGACUGGUCGUCGCCUUAAUGUCCGCCACAUGAUCCUCGGGCAGCACCUCAAAGUCCGAGAAGGCUCGCGAGCGACGUAGAGACUUAUUCGAUGAUGAUUUGCUUGGCAGCGAGCACUUGGCCGUAUCCAAGCGCUCAUCCGUGGCCGACUUACGCAGCUCCACUUCAUAGCUGGAGGGCCGCGAGUCACCCUUCGCUGAAUGUCGCCCUAUAAUCAGAGUGAAAGCUGCACCAAAUAAAUAAAUCAAAGCAGUUCGAGAAGGGAUUUACGCAUUGGCUGGCGACUGCCCGCAUCCAUUUGCAGCUCAUCCAAGGAGCUGGCCGAGCUGAUGGUACCAGGUGUGCCGCCCGUUUCGCUCAAAAAGUGACCCGACGAGGAGCUGAUGAUGCUGUCCGCGGAGCUGCUGCCGCCUGCGCCGCUUAUUGGCACCUUUAAAUAUCUAGAAGAGAUUAUGGACUUAGCAUCGAUUAUAUUUUAGAACAGAAUUAUCUGAAAUACCUUUCUACUUCUAGAUUAAGCGGCAUCAAUGUAUUGGAAUCGUGAGCAGCUGUGGGCGGCACAUUGGCCCGCUCCCACUUGAAAGCCGCCUUCACCUUUGUCCACUUGGACACCUUGGACUUGUUGUCGCUGUAGGUGCUCUGCCGGCGCAGCAAAUAUGGCCUAGAGGAGUUCUUCAUCUGCCGGUCGCCCUUUAAAUACAUGUUUAUCUCUUCCUCCAUCAUGGACUUACUGCGCUCGCGUAUUCUGUGGUGUGGAUAUCAGACUUAUCCCAGCGUGGAAUAUCGUAUUUCAAUAUGUACAUACCGCUUGAAUUUGCCAUGCUUUGUGGGAGGCACCACCUCGGUGCCCAAUAGGGAUUCCAGCCAGGUCAACGAGUGCUCCAACUCGAAUUCGGUGUCGGCGGUGGGUGUGGAUGUGGCUGGAGCUUGUGCAGCAGCAGGAGCACUGGCUGCAGUCAGAGUUGAGGUUGAAGUUGAAGUUGAAGCAGCAUUGAGGGCUAUCAUAUCCGACUCCAUUCCGGCUGCCGACUCCUCGUCAUUGUCCGUGAUGGUGGCAAGUUUCUGCUCCAACAGGCCCUCAAGCAUUGCACAUGUGCGAGUUAGUUGAUCCAUGGCCUCAAUGGCAGUGUUGAGCCGAUUCUUGAGCGGCUCAAUCGUGCCACGAUCCGCUCGGUAGGGCUGACAGAAGUGACAACUAUGCUUUCCAUGCUCGCACACGGGCAAAUCCUUCUCCUCGCGCAGCUUGGGCGAAGCAGAGAGAUUGCGUGCCCGCGAGGCCACAGCUGGAAACUGGAAGAUGUUCUCAUCGGUCCGUCCGCACAUGGCAGGCGGAGCCGUGGGCAGGGAUUCAUAGUGCAUGGCACUGAUUCUAUGUCGUGUCCGACGAGGCUUUGGCGGUGGUGCUCCUUCCAUUGCAAGUUGAGAAACCAGCGCAAGUCCACUUCGGUUUACAUAAAUAUAUAUAUAUGUAUGUGUGCGCGUGUGUAGGUAUGAGUGUCCAGCUAUGUGUGCCUAUGCGCGUACUGAAAUGCUCAAUUGGCUUCUGUUUGUUUACUCGGAGAGAUACGCCACUAGAAAUACACGCAAGACAAGAAUAUCCCACGAAUUAUCGAAAUCAAAAAUUUGUUUAUAAAAGAGGAAGACAAAUGUGGAACGUCCGCCACACACACAAUAACCCAAAACACAAGCACACAGACACACACACAGUCCACCCUCUUAUAAAUAUGUAUGUAUAUGUAUGUGUUUGUAUAUAAAUUGGCAGACUUGUGUAUACGUAUCGUAUAUGGGGUAAUUUGAAAUGCCUCAAAGUGUAACGCUUAAAAUACAUGAAAUAAACAAUAAAUUUGAAAAACGAAA